rnacentral:misc_RNA from 1 species
AAAGUCGUAACAAGGUUUCCGUAGGUGAACCUGCGGAAGGAUCAUUAAAAGUUGUGCGAGGCGGUCCCUGGCACUGCCAGGUGGCCGCUUAGACAUCAACACCCUCUGUAUAUCUACCGCGUUGCUUUGGCGGGACGGCAGCCAGCAGCCCUGCUGGGAAGCUGUCCGCAGGGCCUCUCAAGACCCUGCGAGCGCCCGCCGGAGAACCAUCAAACUCAUGUUAAACCGUGAUGUCUGAGCUUUACAAGCAAUAAGUUAAAACUUUCAACAACGGAUCUCUUGGUUCUC